rnacentral:rRNA from 1 species
GACGAACGCUGGCGGUGUGCUUAACACAUGCAAGUGGUGCGACGAACCAGAGCUUGCUCUGGGGCAAAGCCGCGAACGGGUGAGUAACACGUGGGUAAUCUACCCCGAUGACCGGGACAACCCGAGGAAACUCGGGCUAAUACCGGAUGUGGUGCGGAGACAUAAGUCUCUUCACUAAAGGUAGCUUCGGCUUCCGCAUUGGGAGGGGCCCGCGGCCCAUUAGCUUGUUGGUGGGGUCAAGUCCUACCAAGGCAACGAUGGGUAGCUGGUCUGAGAGGACGAUCAGCCACACUGGGACUGAGACACGGCCCAGACUCCUACGGGAGGCAGCAGUGGGGAAUCUUGCGCAAUGCGCGAAAGCGUGACGCAGCAACACCGCGUGAGGGAAGAAGGCCUUAGGGUUGUAAACCUCUUUCAGAUGGGACGAAGGUUCUCCGGUGAAUAGCCGAGAGGAUUGACGGUACCGUCAGAAGAAGCUCCGGCUAACUACGUG